rnacentral:rRNA from 1 species
CCUACGGGAGGCAGCAGUGGGGAAUAUUGGACAAUGGGGGGAACCCUGAUCCAGCCAUGCCGCGUGUGUGAAGAAGGCCCUCGGGUUGUAAAGCACUUUCAGUGAGGAAGAACGCCUGGUGGUUAAUACCCAUCAGGAAAGACAUCACUCACAGAAGAAGCACCGGCUAACUCCGUGCCAGCAGCCGCGGUAAUACGGAGGGUGCGAGCGUUAAUCGGAAUUACUGGGCGUAAAGCGCGCGUAGGUGGCUUGAUAAGCCGGUUGUGAAAGCCCCGGGCUCAACCCGGGAACGGCAUCCGGAACUGUCAAGCUAGAGUGCAGGAGAGGAAGGUAGAAUUCCCGGUGUAGCGGUGAAAUGCGUAGAGAUCGGGAGGAAUACCAGUGGCGAAGGCGGCCUUCUGGACUGACACUGACACUGAGGUGCGAAAGCGUGGGUAGCAAACAGGAUUAGAUACCCUAGUAGUC